UACGAAGGGGGCUAGCGUUGCUCGGAAUCACUGGGCGUAAAGCGCACGUAGGCGGAUUGUUAAGUCGGGGGUGAAAUCCUGGAGCUCAACUCCAGAACUGCCUUCGAUACUGGCGAUCUUGAGUCCGGGAGAGGUGAGUGGAACUCCGAGUGUAGAGGUGAAAUUCGUAGAUAUUCGGAAGAACACCAGUGGCGAAGGCGGCUCACUGGCCCGGUACUGACGCUGAGGCGCGAAAGCUAGGGGAGCAAACGGG
rnacentral:rRNA from 1 species